rnacentral:rRNA from 1 species
GGAUGAACGCUGGCGGCACGCCUAACACAUGCAAGUCGAACGGACCGCGAAACAUUGAAGCUUCGGCUGAUUUGUUUCAUCUGGUUAGUGGCAAACGGGUGAGUAAUGCAUAGGUAAUCUACCCCUAAGUCUGGAAUAACAUUUCGAAAGGAAUGCUAAUACCGGAUAUACUCUUUGGUCAUAAGACUGUAAGAGGAAAGGUUUACUGCUUAGGGAGGGGCCUAUGUCCGAUUAGCUAGUUGGUAAGGUAAUGGCCUACCAAGACUACGAUCAGUAGCUGGUCUGAGAGGAUGUACAGCCACACUGGGACUGAGAUACGGCCCAGACUCCUACGGGAGGCAGCAGUGGGGAAUAUUGCGCAAUGGGCGAAAGCCUGACGCAGCGACGCCGCGUGAGCGAAGAAGUCUUUCGGGAUGUAAAGCUCUGUCAAGAGGGAAGAUUAUGACGGUACCUCUAGAGGAAGCACCGGCUAAUUACGUGCCAGCAGCCGCGGUAAUACGUAAGGUGCGAGCAUUAUCCGGAUUUAUUGGGCAUAAAGCGCGCGUAGGUGGUAUUUUAAGUCAGGUGUUAAAGGCUACAGCUCAACUGUAGUUCGCAUUUGAAACUGAAUCACUAGAGAUUAGGAGAGGGAAGUGGAACUCACAGUGUAGCGGUGAAAUGCGUAGAUAUUGUGAGGAACACCAGUGGCGAAGGCGGCUAUCUGGACUAGUUCUGACGCUGAGGUACGAAAGCAUGGGGGAGCGAACGGGAUUAGAUACCCCGGUAGUCCAUGCCGUAAACUGUGUUCACUAAGUGUAGGAGGUAUCGACCCCUUCUGUGCUACAGAUAAUUCGUUAAGUGAACCGCCUGGGGAGUACGCACGCAAGUGUGAAACUCAAAGGAAUUGACGGGGGCCCGCACAAGCGGAGGAGUAUGUGGUUUAAUUCGAUGCAACGCGAAGAACCUUACCAGGGCUUGACAUCCUGCGAACCUCUGGGAAACCGGAGGGUGCCUUCGGGAACUGCAAGACAGGUGGUGCAUGGCUGUCGUCAGCUCGUGUCGUGAGAUGUUGGGUUAAGUCCCGCGCAACGAGCGCAACCCACGUCUUUAGUUGCCAGCAUUUAGUUGGGCACGCUAGAGAGACCGCCGGUGACAAACCGGAGGAAGGUGUGGAUGACGUCAAGUCAUCAUGCCCCUUACGUCCUGGGCUACACACAUGCUACAAUGACCGGUACAAUGGGUCGCGAAACCGCGAGGUGGAGCUAAUCUCAAAAAACCGGUCUCAGUUCGGAUUGUAGUCUGCAACUCGACUACAUGAAGUUGGAAUUGCUAGUAAACGUAGAUCAGCUAUGCUGCGUUGAAUAUGUUCCCGGGCCUUGUACUCACCGCCC